UAGGGAAUCUUCCACAAUGGACGCAAGUCUGAUGGAGCAACGCCGCGUGAGUGGAGAAGGUUUUCGGACCGUAAAGCUCUGUUGUUGGUGAAGAAGGAUAGAGGUAGUAACUGGCCUUUAUUUGACGGUAAUCAACCAGAAAGUCACGGCUAACUACGUGCCAGCAGCCGCGGUAAUACGUAGGUGGCAAGCGUUGUCCGGAUUUAUUGGGCGUAAAGCGAGCGCAGGCGGAAGAAUAAGUCUGAUGUGAAAGCCCUCGGCUUAACCGAGGAAUUGCAUCGGAAACUGUUUUUCUUGAGUGCAGAAGAGGAGAGUAGAACUCCAUGUGUAGCGGUGGAAUGCGUAGAUAUAUGGAAGAAUACCAGUGGCGAAGGCGGCUCUCUGGUCUGCAACUGACGCUGAGGCUCGAAAGCAUGGGUAGCGAACAGGAUUAGAUACCCUGGUAGUCCAUGCCGUAAACGAUGAGUGCUAAGUGUUGGGAGGCUUCCGCCUCUCAGUGCUGCAGCUAACGCAUUAAGCACUCCGCCUGGGGGAGUACGACCGCAAGGUUGAAAC
rnacentral:rRNA from 1 species